CUUCCCUUGCUGGCCCCAAUCCGGCCCUCCUAAAGUCUGAAGGGCAAUAAAGUGGCCCUUUGUUUGAAAAGUUUGGCGACCCCUGUUAUAGAGGGUCCACCAGGGUAGAGUGGCACCAUCUUUUGAUUUGGUUAAGGUUGGGUAGAGUGGCACCAUCUUUUGAUUUGGUUAAGGUUGGAGCACUUGGGGAAAAAUGUAUGUUCUUAUGGUGUGCUGGAUUCCCUGAGACAUAUAAGAAACCAGAACACGAUUCAACUCAACCAGAAGCCACACACAUCUGAAAUAUCUGUACUGUAAAGAGAAGACUGCCGAUCGAUACUUGAAUGUUUGGUUUACAGAGAAACAUUUCCAUGUUGUAUGAAUGCUCUGCCAUUAUCUGUAUAGGAAACGCUACAUUCCCCGAUCUCAUUCCGACUCGUCACCUUCUGUCAGCCGUUAAACUGCCAGGAGGAUAAUCGUUGGUCUGUGUAUUUGUUAACCAUGAUCUCUAAUUAAAGGAAAAUAAAACAACA